GAUGAACGCUGGCGGCGUGCUUAACACAUGCAAGUCGAACGAUGAUGCCCAGCUUGCUGGGUGGAUUAGUGGCGAACGGGUGAGUAACACGUGAGUAACCUGCCCUUGACUCUGGGAUAAGCCUGGGAAACUGGGUCUAAUACCGGAUACGACCAUCUGGCGCAUGUCAUGGUGGUGGAAAGCUUUUGUGGUUUUGGAUGGACUCGCGGCCUAUCAGCUUGUUGGUGGGGUAAUGGCCUACCAAGGCGACGACGGGUAGCCGGCCUGAGAGGGUGACCGGCCACACUGGGACUGAGACACGGCCCAGACUCCUACGGGAGGCAGCAGUGGGGAAUAUUGCACAAUGGGCGCAAGCCUGAUGCAGCGACGCCGCGUGGGGGAUGACGGCCUUCGGGUUGUAAACCUCUUUCAGUAGGGAAGAAGCGAAAGUGACGGUACCUGCAGAAGAAGCGCCGGCUAACUACGUG
rnacentral:rRNA from 1 species